UACAGAGGUCUCGAGCGUUAUGCGGAAUCACUGGGCUUAAAGCGUGUGUAGGCGGAUCGUUAAGUACCUUGUGAAAUCCCACGGCUUAACCGUGGAACUGCUUGGUAUACUGGCGGUCUUGAGCCAGCUAGGGGCUACCGGAACAAAUGGUGGAGCGGUGAAAUGCGUAGAUAUCAUUUGGAACGCCAAUGGUGAAAACAGGUAGCUGGGGCUGUGCUGACGCUGAGACACGAAAGCCAGGGGAGCAAACGGG
rnacentral:rRNA from 1 species